UACGAAGGGGGCUAGCGUUGCUCGGAAUUACUGGGCGUAAAGAGCUCGUAGGUGGUUUGUCGCGUUGUUCGUGAAAACUCACAGCUUAACUGUGGGCGUGCGGGCGAUACGGGCAGACUGGAGUACUGCAGGGGAGACUGGAAUUCCUGGUGUAGCGGUGAAAUGCGCAGAUAUCAGGAGGAACACCGAUGGCGAAGGCAGCUCACUGGGACGGUACUGACGCUGAGGCGCGAAAGCGUGGGGAGCAAACAGG
rnacentral:rRNA from 1 species